UAGGAUAAAUACCCCUCUCCUUGCCGUCUACAUUGUUUUGAGUCCUGUUGUUUUUCUUCGGUGUUUGGGUCUGUGUGUGAUUUGGUUUAUCAUUUUUAAAUCAUAAAGUGAUAUAUUUCUGAAUCCAUAGUUUAAUACAAGAGGGUGAACAGAAAUAUAAAUAACUUCUAAAGAACUCUAAUCACCAAUAGUGACUGUUAAUGGGAUGUAAUAAGUUAGUAAUAAGAUACCAGAAGGUGUCCUGAUAUAUAAAAAUAUUUAACCAGGUGGAGGUGAAGAAAGAGAGAAUCUGGAGCUUUAGAAAUAAACUUUAACAAAGUCCAAACAGAAAUCUAUUUAAGAAGGUGUAGAAACUGACUUUAAGAGGUAUCAGGAUGAGGAAGGUGGGGGGAAUAGUUUGAUCUGAGUGACUCUGGGUGGAUAUUUGGGUUUUAUGUUACAGUGUUGGGAUAGUUUGAUAAAUAUUAAUUGAGUGAUGAAGAAGAACAGGUCUGAUCCUCCAUGUUUCAGAGCGUUUCUGUCAGCAUUUUACGGUCCGGUUAGUUUCACCGGUCAGUUAACUGCUGACGGAGCGUUAGAGCAUCACUGCUGUUGCUAUGGUUACCUGCAGUUUAAAAUACCUUGAGACCAGCCAAUCACAGACCAGUGUUUCCUGUGGUGACUGUAAAAUGAUCUGAAAUGUCUGUCGGAUUAAAUAAAUAAAGUGUGAUUAACA